AUUGAACGCUGGCGGCAGGCCUAACACAUGCAAGUCGAGCGGAUGAAGGGAGCUUGCUCCUGGAUUCAGCGGCGGACGGGUGAGUAAUGCCUAGGAAUCUGCCUGGUAGUGGGGGAUAACGUCCGGAAACGGGCGCUAAUACCGCAUACGUCCUGAGGGAGAAAGUGGGGGAUCUUCGGACCUCACGCUAUCAGAUGAGCCUAGGUCGGAUUAGCUAGUUGGUGGGGUAAAGGCCUACCAAGGCGACGAUCCGUAACUGGUCUGAGAGGAUGAUCAGUCACACUGGAACUGAGACACGGUCCAGACUCCUACGGGAGGCAGCAGUGGGGAAUAUUGAACAAUGGGCGAAAGCCUGAUCCAGCCAUGCCGCGUGUGUGAAGAAGGUCUUCGGAUUGUAAAGCACCUUAAGUUGGGAGGAAGGGCAGUAAGUUAAUACCUUGCUGUUUUGACGUUACCAACAGAAUAAGCACCGGCUAACUUCGUG
rnacentral:rRNA from 1 species